UGGAACAGUGAAGUCUAGUGGUAACCACAAUCCUUAGGAGUGCCUCUCCCUAGAACCCAGACACCAUGCUGAAUUGGUAUUCAGCUCCAUGCCUUGGUUUUUACUGUCACAGAAAGCAGUAACCACAUACAAAGGAAGCUGAAUUGGACUGGCUCUCAAUCCACUGAGCCACUUAACUGUCCCCAAUGGACUCCACAUUUUAAGAACAUUGACACACUGGACUGGGUACCAAAGAAAAUUAAGAAGAUGAUGGGAGGACCAGAGUCAGAGCCAAGGAUAACUCAAAAUGAUGAAAAUGAGCCCCGAAGAGGCUAAGAUGUUUAGCCAAGGUGACCCAGAUGGAGAAAAGCAAGAGAUAAAUUGAGUUCAUCUGUCACAAAGCUGGCGGUUGGCAGAAACAGACGAGAGGAAAAUAGUCGUGCACCUGAGGAGUCAACUCUAGCAGAGUGGAAGGAAAGGCACUCGUGGUGGGGAGACAUGGGAAGACAGGGAGAAAGGCUUAGGGCCAAUCAAGUGACCCCAAAUCCUAUCUCCAUAACCACUAGGUGCUUUAUUUAAGACUCAGAAGAUGCAGCUGGAAAGAACUCUAAGCCACAACCUAGAAAGAUGUUUCCCUUUGCAUAUGGGAGUCAAUCAACAACCACUGAUUAAGCAAUUACUAUGAGCUGAUAACUAUGCUGAGUUCUCAGAAUUUUUUUUAAAUGAUCCCUGCCCUCAAGGAAAUUACAUUCAUAAAUCAGCACAUACAAGGCAUUCAUCCUUCAUUUUUCAUAAAGGA
rnacentral:lncRNA from 1 species